rnacentral:lncRNA from 1 species
CACAGGGUAGCUAGGGUCACCCGCUGACCUCCCAGGCCACAGUAGGCCCAGGCAGCCCCUAGGUUCUCGUCUGCCCACUAGGCUGGGUGCCCAGCGGAGCCACCCUGUCCUCAGGGGUGCUGCAGAAGAGGCUCUGUGUCAGGACCCCCAAGGACCUGGAGCCACAACGACCUUGUCACCAGGGCCCGUGGGCCCUUCUGGGUGAGCAGCAGGGGACCUUCCUUCUGCCCCGCCCCCGCCCCACAGGUCCCCAGCAGCGGCACCUUUCUGCGUGUGUGUGACCGAUUCGUUCACGUCGACUCCUCCCCUGGACAGAGGCUUCUGGAAAACUAAAGUUGGCCCCUUGGUUCCCCCCUUGCCAGGCAGGGCUGGCCCUCAGAGCCUGGUGGAUGAACAGACCAGGAGGGAAGUUUGGGAACACCCGGCUCAGAGAUGAGAAGAGAGGGUGGAUCAGCCGCCACAUGGCAAAGCCAUGGGCCAGCUCUCCCUGCCACGGCCAGUGGACCCGGGACUUGGGUUCUCCAGCAUGGGCCCAGGCGGCUCGGAGCAGGGGCUGCUUCCCUCCGGCCCUUUCCCCGAAGCCCGCUCCCUUCUCCACCCCCGUCCCUGCCCACUCCCCGCAGGCCGGGGUGCACUUGGAGCCCCGAGGACCUCCGAGGCUGUCGCCACCCUCCUCUGUUCUGACUGCUUUCUAUUACUGGGCUUGUAAAAUGAUUAUUGUUUUGCUGUGGUAAGAUGUACAUAAUAUAAGAUUUACCUGUUUUUUUUGUUUGUUUGUUUGUUUUCGUUUUUGAUUUUUUUUUUUUGAGGCAGGGUUUCAGUCUGUCCCCCAGGCUGCAGUGCAGUGGCACAAUUUUGGCUUACUGCAGCCUCGAACACCUGGGUUCAAGCAAUCCCCCCACCUCAGCCCCCCAAGUAGCUGGGACUAUAAGCAGGUGCCACCACAUCCGGCUUUUUUGUAGAGAUGAGGUUUCUCUGUGUUGCCCAUGCUGGUCUUGAACCCUGGCACUCAAGUGACCCUCACACCUCCCAGCACCUCAGCCUCCUAGAGUGCUAGGCUUGCAGGCGUGAGCCACUGCGCCUGGCUAAAUUUU